UAACAUAUUGGUUGUCCAUUUGUGGAAAAUGGCAUCUUAUAGAGCUGGAUGAUUAUAAUGUGAUUUUCCCCAUUCUGUGAGCUUAACAUUAUUCGAGAUUCGUAAGAUUAACUUAUUUAGUUGUCCGCUCUACUUGUCUUCUUUGCCUUCUCAGCUUUACACAAAGGAUACAUCUAGGAGUUGGAAGCUAGUUGGAUCAGAUAGGCUGACUGUCAAGGAGCCUUCAGCCAAUGUGAUCCUUUUGGAUUUUAUAUCAUCUAAGAAAUGGAAGGAUAUCACAGAUUUCGAUGACCACCUUGAUGAUAUUAGCAAGGACUGGCUAAACUCAGACCUUUUCAACUAAAGUUCGAUUUCAGAGUCAUUUUGUUCUCUGCAACUGCUGGCAAUUCUUAAUUAUUUUUCUCAGUGGCAUUGAUAAGAGAUUGCAACACCAAUUGCUCUCUGAAAGACCUAAUAUGAUGAAGAUCAAUACUUUAAGCUGGCGUAGAAGAAACAUUUUUCAUGGUGUAUUUGAUUGUCAAUGGUUCUUUGGUAGUAUAACUUUCAAAUAGAAACUGGAUAUUUACCUUUGAAGAAUAGCUUGUGUAUCUGAUACCUUAAAAAUAUUUAUCUUAGAAGAAUUUGAAGAUUCUGUUUGCAGUGCAGCAGAUCGCGGUGUCUUCAUUGGGAAGAUACCUCCUAUUUUCUGUGGUGUUUUGUGUUGUUAUGGAGGUGAAAUGGAUAAUACCCCUUUUCUUAUCA